AUCUUUUUUGGUUCACAAGCAUGAUGAUUGGGUCUUCAUGCUGUUGCAUGCAUGUACUGACCUCAAACCUUGUUAUGCAUCCACGUAUCACCCAUCAGAAG